UCGCUCCGCGGCCGCGCGGAGCUGUUUCCCGGGGGCGGAUUUCUCGCUUCUUCCUCCCUGGAUCCACCUCCUCCCACUCCACCUCCUUCCCCUCCCCUCCCCAGGGGAGGCUCUGGGGCUGAAUAUUUUCUGUCUUGAAUAACACGGGCCCGGGAAACCGACGCUGGAGAAGGGGGAUUACCCGGAGGCCGGAGGGGGGUGCUCGCCUGCCCCCUCCCCGUGGGUCGCGGGACCUACAAGCCCUCGCUCCCCAGCACCCCAAAACCAGGCACACACAACCCUCCCCGCCCCUGCAGUCUCCCAAGCGCUGAGUGGCAGCGUCCAGGGAUGGGCUUGCUCCCGGGGAAGGAGACCUGGUGGUAGGCGUCUGGGGUGGAGAGGGGGACAAGCCUAUAACAGCGACACCUGCAGACUCGAGGGAUCAAAGGUCCUAGACCGGGGGACGGGGAUUGGCAAAUUGUGCCCCCCCUUUUUUGCAGCGGGCAGGCAAUGAAGCUGCGACCAGACGUGGGACUUGCAGAUAAGGGAGUGUCCCUUCACGCCUCACAGCAAAAUCUCUUCCUGUGGUGGGAAGGGGGAAGUUAGCCAAGCGUUGCUCAUUCAGUUCUUUCCCUUUUAUAAAUUCUGCAGAGCGACUGAGCGAAUUUGGCGCGGCUAGCGGAACUGUGAAGAGGCUGCUGCGCUUCUCUGUCCGCCACACUUCAGGUCACAGCGGCUCCGGAGCCGCGGCACAACCGCCUCCUUCCCCACCCAGCUCCCGGGCCUUGUCACAGACCCCGGCAGUUCGCUCCGCCCCACCGCGCCUCACAACAUCUCCCGCUGCAAAUUGUCCAAUCGGGAGACACGAUGGGAGAACGCGAGCCAAUCAGAGACUGUGCUCCUGCUGGUGCUGUUGAGGGUCAUUUUUAUCCUCACUGCGGCGGGGGACUGCCAGCUAUUGUGUCUGAUCAGCUGCCACCGCCGUCCAGAGGGAAAAAAAAGAGGAACAAAACCUAGAAGCUAUGGAGUCCGCUUACCUUUUCCUUCUUUCUUGCUACUCUCCCCUGUAGACUUAGAGUCUUCCCCCGCCCGCCCACCACCUGAGGUCCUGUUUCUUUGUGGGGGACAGGGGAGCGGGGACAUAAAGCAUGCCCUGCAGCUGGGGCACCUGCGCCUUCGUUUUUACAUCUUCCUUAAAGUGGAUGGUGCCAAACCAAAUCGACAGCUAAAUCCUUCGCUUCAAUUCGAGGAAAGACGUUGA
rnacentral:lncRNA from 1 species